rnacentral:tRNA from 8 species
GCCCCGGUAGCUCAGUUGGAUAGAGCGGCAGCCUUCUAAGCUGUAGGCCACAGGUUCGACUCCUGUCCGGGGCACCA